UACAGAGGGUGCGAGCGUUAAUCGGAAUUACUGGGCGUAAAGGGCGCGUAGGCGGCCUGCUAAGUCACACGUGAAAUCCCUCGGCUCAACCGGGGAACUGCGUGUGAUACUGGCGGGCUUGAAUUCAGGAGAGGGAUCUGGAAUUCCUGGUGUAGCGGUGGAAUGCGCAGAUAUCAGGAGGAACACCGGUGGCGAAGGCGGGAUCCUGGGCCAGUACUGACGCUGAGGAGCGAAAGCGUGGGGAGCAAACAGG
rnacentral:rRNA from 1 species